rnacentral:rRNA from 1 species
GUAAGGAAUAUUGGACAAUGGUCGCAAGACUGAUCCAGCCAUGCCGCGUGCAGGAUGAAGGUGCUCUGCAUUGUAAACUGCUUUUAUUCGGGAAUAAACCCCUUCACGUGUGGAGGGCUGAAUGUACCGAAAGAAUAAGGGACGGCUAACUUCGUGCCAGCAGCCGCGGUAAUACGAAGGUCCCAAGCGUUAUCCGGAUUUAUUGGGUUUAAAGGGUGCGUAGGCGGGUUGUUAAGUCAGUGGUGAAAGCCUACAGCUUAACUGUAGAAUUGCCAUUGAUACUGACGAUCUUGAGUGUGGUUGAGGUGGGCGGAAUGUAUCAUGUAGCGGUGAAAUGCUUAGAUAUGAUACAGAACACCGAUUGCGAAGGCAGCUCACUAAGCCACUACUGACGCUGAGGCACGAAAGCGUGGGGAGCAAACAGGAUUAGAUACCCGGGUAGUCC